rnacentral:lncRNA from 1 species
UCGCUCUUGUUGCCCAGGCUGGAGUGCAAUGGUGAGAUCUCUGCUCACUGCAACCUCCACCUCCCAGGUUCAAGGGAUUCUUGUGCCUCAGCCUCCUGAGUAGCUGAGAUUACAGGCACCCACCACCACGUCCGGCUAAGUUGUUGUUUUUUGUUUUUGUUCUUGUUUUUUUGAGAGAUGGAGUCUUGAUCUGUCACCCAGGCUGGAGUGGAGUGGCGGUAUCUCGGCUCACUGCAACCUCCACCUCCCGGGUUUGAGCGAUUCUCCUGCCUCAGCUUCCCAAGUAGCUGGGACCACAGACGUUUGCCACCACUCCCAGUUAAUUUUUGUAUUUUUUUAGUAGAGUUGGGGUUUCACUAUAUGUUGGCCAGCCUGGUCUCAAACUCCUGACCUCAGGUGAUCUGCCCACCUCGGCCUCCCAAAGUGUUGGGAUUAUAGGCGUGAGCCACCGUGCCUGGCCAAUUUUUUGUAUUUUUUUGUAGAGACGGGGUUUCACCAUGUUGGCCAGGCUGGUCUUGAAUUCCUGGCCUCAGGUUAUCCGCCUGCCUGAGCCUCCCAAAGUGCUGGAUUACAGGCAUGACCCACCAAACCCAGCCCAAAUAUAUUUGCAUAUAUAUAUAUUUUAAUAUCCCACGCCUACACUCUGGGAUAACUCAGCUCUUACAGGCAGUAAUCAUGGGUCAGACCUGCCAUUAUCCAGUUCAGCCCAUUUCAUUUGACAGACACCUGGUGAAUAGAGACAUGCAGGGACUCUUGUCCACAUUUGCCCAGUUGGCUGAUAGCACAGUGUACAAAGUCUGUCUGCAGCAGGUCAUAAUUUCACAGCUCUGCCACAUGCAUGUAUAUCACUGUACCAAGCGUGUUCACAUGGUAUGGUGCUGACACAUGUUGACGGAAUGUGGUACAGACCCUCUGUGUGAAGUGUGUUCACACAGUGCGGUGCUGACCCUCUGUAUGAAGCGUGUUCACACGGUGCGGUGCUGACCCUCUGUAUGAAGCAUGUUCACGUAGUGCAGUGCUGACUCUGUAUGAAGUGUGUUCACACAAUGAGGUGCUGACCUCAUGUAUGAAGCAUGUUCACACAAUGCGGUGCUGACCCUCUGUAUGAAGCGUGUUCACACGGUGCGGUGCUGACUCUCUGUAUGACACAUGUUCACACAAUGCGGUGCUGACCUUCUGUAUGAAGCGUGUUCACACAGUGCAGUGCUGACCUUCUGUAUGACACAUGUUCACAGAGUGAGGUGCUGAUCUUCUGUAUGAAGCAUGUUCACAUGGUGCAGUACUGACUCUCUGUUUGAAGUGUGUUCACACGGUGCGGUGCUGACUCUCUGUAUGAAGUGUGUUCACCUGGUGCAGUACAGGCUCUCUGCAUGAAGCAUGUUCACACAGUGCGGUGCUGACCCUCUGUAUGAAGCGUGUUCACACAGUGCAUGUGAAACCAGAACCGACAGUCGAACCCAAGCAGAAGUCUUGACCAAGCACUUCCCUCCUGGGAAUGCACCAUGAUAUCACCACACCGAAGUCCAGGCUGGCAAAUAGGGACAUUUAAGUGACAUUUAAGCUCGUGGUGGCCCUAUGAGGAGUCAUUGCUGACUGAGAUGGGAUUUUAAGGUGUUGCCUGCCUGUGUGUUCUCAGACCCUCUCCUGAAGCCCC